AAUGUAUUAUCACGUGUGAAUGUUUGCCGGAUUUGAUUGCAAAAAAGUCAUUCCACGAGUCCAAGUUCAAUAUGACGCUAUUAGUUGGAGUGAGGAAAUGUGAUACAAAAGUCAAAGAUAUGUUUAUAAUGUGAAUAAUAUAUUUAUAAAAAGAGAAAAGUUAAAUAUUUACAUGACGUUCGAAUAAACGUCGAACAUAAUAAGUCCAACUUCUAACACAUUAAAACGGUACGUGGAAUUUGUAAUAUGUGUGUUAAAAACUUUGAUUUUUUUUUAUAACCAUUAACUCAACACUUGGAUCCAUCCUGAGAUCAUACGCCUACUAUCACAUUUUAUGAUAAAUUUAUAUCAAUAUUAUCAAUGCUUAUAUAAUGAUUUGA